ensembl:snRNA U6 U6 spliceosomal RNA
GUGCUCGCUUGGCAGCACAUAUACUAAAAUUGGAAUGAUACGGAGAGGAUUAGCAUGGCCCCUGCACAAGGAUGAAACGCAAAUUUGUGAAGGGUUCCGUAUUAAA